rnacentral:rRNA from 1 species
UACGAAGGGAGCUAGCGUUGUUCGGAAUCACUGGGCGUAAAGCGCGCGUAGGCGGGUUUGAAAGUCGGAGGUGAAAUGCUGGGGCUCAACUCCAUGCAGUGCCUCCGAUACUUCAAGUCUUGAGUGCGGUAGGGAGAAGUGGAAUGGCUGGUGUAGCGGUGAAAUGCGUAGAUAUCAGUCGGAACACCGGUGGCGAAGGCGGCAUCCUGGACCGGUAUUGACGCUGAGGCGCGAAAGCUAGGGGAGCAAACGGG